UUGUGCCAUUGCACUCAGGCCUGGGCGAUAGAGGGAGAUUCCGUCUCAAAAAAAUUUUUUAAAAACCAGCCAACUACUUUUGCCCAGACUAAAACAUCAGGGGCAAGGGGUGGAGGAAGUAGAAUGGAGAAGGAAAAUGACUCCUUUGUAUUUAGAUAGUAAAUGAGUAUGAAAAUUAUAUGCAAACAAGUCAUGCAUAUUAUUUUCAUCUCAACAUUUUGAACACCUUUUAUAAUCUUAGUGUAGCCUUAGGGAAUGUGGAAAGAAACGAGGUUAAUAUCUUUUGGGAAAUUAAUUUGUGCCAAACUAUUUGGCUUCUUCGUCCUAGUUGCAUUGUCUCCCUGACCUCAUCUCCCCUGAGAAUCAGCCUCUGUUUCCCUGGUCAAGGCCACGGCUUUUCUCUGAUCCUGAGGAGAGUUUCCUACCAGAGUGGAAGCAGGGAGGACUGAAAGCACUAGGAACAGAGGGGAGCUAUCGGAUUGCAUCUAGAACCUGCUCUCCUUAUCAGUGUAAUUGUGGGGACUGGUCACCAGCUCUUGCUUGAGCUUUUCCAGAAGAAACUUCACUACUGAAAUAUUCCAAGAGGACUUGAUGCUGCCACAAAGAGAAGAGAAUGAAUAAAGUUGUCGGCUUUGUAAGAGCCAGACAAACAGAGAUACCCAGCACUAAUCAACUUUGUGGCAAAUCCCUCCACAGCCUAAGAAGGUAUGGUGAGAUCAAAGCCUUAGUCUCAUUGCUGUAUUGGAGCAUCCCCCUCUACUUCCCUGUCCUUAGCAAAGUACCUUCUAAUUCUUUUUCCUCAAGGAGACCAUACCUUUCAGACCCAUUGAAUCUCUUGUCAUUGGUGAUGUGGUUAUGCACAUUGUGGACCAGUUUCUAGGAGGAAAAAAAGAAAACACAAUCAAGCCAAGAGUGGAUGUUAUGAAAACUCUCCUCUGGUCCCUAGGGUAAAAAGGUCCUCCCUUGAGCUGGAACCACGGAGAGUCCUGACCAGCCACAGACUGGGGUGAGCAGCAGUGGCCAUUACCCAUAUGGCUGUGCCUUCAGGAGAGCAAUGACCAGUUGCUGUGUUACACUGGAGGGGGAGAGAGGGGUUUAUGUAUUCAUUUCUCAGAUCCAGCAGAUGGGCUGGGAGUUUCAUCCCUCCCAUCUACUCCAUGUGUUCUGCUCCUUUACUCUUUACUGGGUGUCUAUGUCUUGUUGUGGGGGGAGGAGAAAAAGAGAGGACAGACGGAGAAUAAGGUGGAGAGCUGACAGAACUCCAACCGUCUCUCAAGUGGCACCACAUCUGUUAUUUUCCUAUCUCUAAGAUCUCUAUAGUUGCUCCAUCUCCUUUUCAUACUUCCAUGUGUGACAUUCUGCAGUUCUUACUCUACUCAGCCAGGAUUUUCCUGCUCAUAUGGCCCUUAAGCAGUAAAGAAACUGAAAUAGCACAAUGUACAUCUAUGUCUUUUCCUGCUCACAAAAUAUGCUUGCUUGCUUCCUUCUUUUCUUCCCUCUUUCUCCCUAUAUGUUAUUCUCUUACUGUUAACAAUCAGUUGGCCAUUUCUUUUUCUCAUUUCCCAUUUUAUUUCCUUUCCUCUACCUCCCCCUCGCCUUACCUCAUAGUCUCUCUCCCGUGGUGUAGAUUCUCUUUCCACAUAGAUUCACCUUUCUUCUGUGCUCCCUUUUUUCACUUUUUCUCCUCCCUCAGCCCUUCAUUUCUACUUGUCUCUUUCCCUCCCUAUACUUGUCUUCUAUUAUCUUUAUCUUUGUCCUCUCACUUUUUCCUCCUCUCUCCACCUCUGCCUCUCUCCCCUGUACAUUCCCAUCUCUCUUUGUACUGAAUUCCUCUUGGCAAGCAGAGGGCCUGCGAUAAAAUAUGAAUGAGCCGUCUGUGCACGGCAGGCAUCCUCGCCAGGAGAGGCAGAGUCCAUGGAGCAGCCGAGACAGCUGUGGAAGAGAAGGUGCCAUGCGGAGCUACUGAGAGAGAGGGAAGGGCACCCCAUCACUACACACAGCAAAAAAUGACCUUCUGCCAAAGAAGCUGAUGGUUCAGGAAGAAAAUAGAGCUGACUAUCCCUGAAGGAAAAGGAAACGUGGUACUGUUUUGCUUUAUCACAAAUACAAACAAAAGGUUUAAAGAUGGAAAGAAAAGAACAGAAAGGAAAAAGAGUGAAAAGCCAGGAAAAGCACCUAGGAGGAAUAGCCCUCUGCUGCCAUACUCACAGGA